rnacentral:rRNA from 1 species
UACAGGGGGGGGCAAGCGUUGUUCGGAAUUACUGGGCGUAAAGGGCCAGUAGGCGGCCAACUAAGUCACACGUGAAAUCCCCAGGCUUAACCUGGGAACUGCGUGUGAUACUGGAUGGCUUGAAUUCGGGAGAGGGAUGCAGAAUUCCAGGUGUAGCGGUGAAAUGCGUAGAUAUCUGGAGGAAUACCGGUGGCGAAGGCGGCAUCCUGGACCGACAUUGACGCUGAACGGCGAAAGCUAGGGGAGCAAACGGG